rnacentral:rRNA from 1 species
CCUACGGGAGGCUGCAGUGGGGAAUAUUGCACAAUGGGCGCAAGCCUGAUGCAGCCAUGCCGCGUGUGUGAAGAAGGCCUUCGGGUUGUAAAGCACUUUCAGCGGGGAGGAAGGCGGUGAGGUUAAUAACCUCAUCGAUUGACGUUACCCGCAGAAGAAGCACCGGCUAACUCCGUGCCAGCAGCCGCGGUAAUACGGAGGGUGCAAGCGUUAAUCGGAAUUACUGGGCGUAAAGCGCACGCAGGCGGUCUGUCAAGUCGGAUGUGAAAUCCCCGGGCUCAACCUGGGAACUGCAUUCGAAACUGGCAGGCUAGAGUCUUGUAGAGGGGGGUAGAAUUCCAGGUGUAGCGGUGAAAUGCGUAGAGAUCUGGAGGAAUACCGGUGGCGAAGGCGGCCCCCUGGACAAAGACUGACGCUCAGGUGCGAAAGCGUGCGGAGCAAACAGGAUUAGAUACCCGGGUAGUC